ensembl:lncRNA
GUCGGAAAUGCACCAAUCACAAACAGACCAGCACCGUGUGAGUCGGAAAUGCGCCAAUCACAAACAGACCAGCACCGUGUGAGUCGGAAAUGCACCAAUCACAAACAGACCAGCACCGUGUGAGUCAGAAAUUCUCCAAUCACAAACAGACCAGCACUGUGUGAUUCCGAAAUGGGCUGAUCACAAACAGACCGGCACCGUGCUGCUCACCGAGGCCAGCUCUGUGCCGGGAAACACCACUGGGACUCGUCUGUCACCCCAGCUCUGCGAUCAUGACCUGUCGUCUGUCUCAGGUGCCAUCAGUUGCAUUUUCUCAGACAGAAUUUUAACUUCACCAAAUUGUGGUAGGAGGAAUCCUAGAGACCAUGUGAAAUGACUGCUUCGUUUUCUAGUGAGGAUCUUGAAACCCAGCAGCGUUUCAUACGGUUUAACAACACGGAAGAGGAAACACCCACCCCUGACCAGCCCCACAGAACAGCACAAGCUUGCUAGUGAAUAGCACUGAAGACCACACAGCUUUGGGACCGUCAGCUCCUGACCUUGAGCUUUGGGACGGACACUCCAUGAACCUCUGCAGGUGACCAGCCUUCAGGGCCGCCCUUGAGGCAGCAAUUCUCGAGAACGGACAGUGCAGCUCCUGCUGCACAGCUGGGGGAGCUACUUAGAGGGAGCCAUCAGGUAAGGUCCAAUUCACACUUUGAUGCCCAAGUCUCUGUCUUUGCUUGUCAGAAGUCGCUGCACGAUGACUAGGCUUUGCUAGUGCAAUGUGGUGUAUUUUAAAUGCUUACAAAUAUUGCAGACUUAUUUCCAUAGAGGCACCAUUGAUACGUAGAUAAAACAGGGCCUUUCAGCAAGUUUGAAGCUGCAUGGAGCAGUGAUUAUCUGCAGGGGUGAAUCUACAACGUGAAGCACCGCACGUGUGCUCACAGAUCAGAGGGCCGGGAGUGUGGCUUCUCUUGAGAACAGAAAAGUGAAGCAUCUCUUCCUCGUGACACAAUUCUCACAACAGCCAUUCUGGCCCCUUCUGUUAGUGACGAACAAGUUGUGUAAAAAAAAAGAAAAAGAAAAAGAAAACAAACCUGGCCUCCUAAGUACAUAAACCCCAUGUUGUAAAAAAGCCCAGAAUAUCACAGUGGGAUAAGAAUGAACGUCUUAUUUCCAGUUAAGUUCCACUUCAUAUAAUUGAAUUUCGUGCUUCGGAAUGAUGUUCUUAAUUAUGGGUGUUUUGUCUGUGAGACAACUGUUAAAAGAAAAACCUUAGACAAGGCCAGGCAGGGUGGCUCAGGCCAGUAAUCCCAGCACUUUGGGAGGCUGAGGCAGGAGGAUUGCUUGAGCCCAGGAGUUUGAGACCAGCUUGGCAACAAGGAGAAACACUAUCUCUCCAAAAAUUAAAAAAUGAAAAAAAAGCCUGGUGUGGUGGUGCACUCCUGUAGUCUCAGCUACUUGGGAGGCUGAGGUGGGAGGAUCUCCUGGGCUGGGGAAGUUGAGGCUGCAGUGAGCUGUGAUUAGCACCACUGCACUCCAGCCUUGGCAACAGAGUAAGAGUCUGUCUCAAAAAAAAAAAAAAAAAGGGAAAAGAAAAUAAAAAUUAACAGAGUAAUUGAGCAAAAAACGCUUCUCCAGUUAGACAGCCCCAAAGAAGAGUAGGCUGAGACAGACUCUGGCGCUGCCUUGGGGUGGAAAAGGAUUUAUGGACAAAAAAGGAAAGCGAGGCACAGAAAACAGGAGGGACAAAAACAGCUGGUCAGUUACAGCUCAGCAUCUGCCGUCUUUGACUAGUUUGACUAGUCUGCUGCCUGUGAUCGGCUGAAACUCGGUGAUUGGAAUAAGGGUGUGUGAGUGUGUGUGCGCAGCGCAGCACCUGCAGCCGAAAAAGU